CUCUUCUGCCUCUCUCUCUCCUCCAUUGAAGCGUACUCGACAUUCUCCAUUGAAGGGGCUUCUGAUUUGCAAGUGCCCACCAUCGACCAUUGCUGGGUCUGCCUCUAAUUGUCGGUGCUAGUGAUGGUGGGUUCCAGCCUCUAAUUGUCUCAAGCACCACCGAAUUUGUUCGCAAGUGCCCACCAUCGACCAUUGCUGGUUCUGCCUGCUCCGGUCGCACGCACCACCGUCCUUGUGCUCCACCACCACCGUCCAACAGCUGACCACCAGGUUCGUUGUUGAAUUCUAUUUAUUUAACUUCUUACCUCAAUUUCGUUUUCUUCUUGCUAGGGUUACAAUUUUGAUUGCAGUUUUUAGGUCAAAAUUGGGGCAAUUUCAUUGUUAUUGUUGUUGUUUUAAAAUUAUUAUAGGUUAUUAGUUCUGAAAUAUAUUGGCAUUUUUCUAGGGUUUUGUUAAUUUAGAUUUUUCAAUUUAUUUUUAUUAGCUUCUAAUUUUCUGGAAUACAUGUUUGAUUCCUUAAUGGUCCAGGAUAGAAAUGGAAAUUUAGCAUCCGGCACGAUUGCGAACCUUGUUGAUGAGCUUGGUGUUGUGGUUAUUUACAGAGAAGGACUUCCAAUGAAUGUAUCUGUCACCAUGUCUAUCUCCUAUGUGUCAACUGCCAAGGUUGAUAUCUUUGGUUAUGUUCUUGGUGUUUCUGCUGGGUUUGUUGUUGGUAAAGGCCCUAUGGUUCAUACUGGGGCUUGCAUCGCCAAUCUACUUGGUCAAGGUGGCUCUCGCAAGUAUGGUUUGACCUGGAAUUAGCUCAGAUAUUUCAAGAAUGAUAGAGACCGGCGAGAUUUGAUCACCUGUGGUGCUGCAGCUGGAGUGGCUGCUGCUUUUCGUGCUCCUGUUGGUGGUGUACUUUUUGCCCUUGAAGAAGCAGCCUCCUGUAACUCAGUUAGCACAAACUGUGAUGCGUAGUGGUAUUGGAAAAAUGCCACUUGACAGGACCUUUAUGGAGAGAGACACUAUGAAUGCAAACAUUGUGGUAUGAUUCUUAUCACCAUGUCCUUAAUCCUUUACUAUUAUACUUUUAUCUCUGAAUAUUGACAUAUAUAUUCCUUAUGCUUGCGGUGUAUGAUCUUAUUUGCCUUAGUAGGGUUUCUUCAUAUUGUGUUUCAAUGUGUGAUGUAUGAGUAAGUUUAUAUUUUACAUGAAUUAGUAGGGUUUCUUCAGCAUCAACAAGUAGGGUGCUUUACUCUUUUUGGCUAAGUUCUUGUUCGUGGCGUGUUCGAUUUGCUUUAAACUUAAAAGGACUUCAAUAUGAGUACAAAGCAGUUGAUCUUAUCAAAGGGGAGAAAUUUAAUCCAGGUCCUGUAGCAGGUCUUACUCUGGUACAGAUUCUGCUGCAGUCUCUGUUCUGGGUGCUGGAUUUGGUUUGCUGGGUUCUGGCUUUGUUGAGUUCAGGUCUGCUAGGGUCUGGUUUACAGACGCUCGGGUUUCUGGUUUCUGGUUGCUGUGUUGUUCCUGGCUACUGGGAUCUGGUUGCAGGCUCUGGUGCAGUUCAUGUGCUGGAUUUGGUUGCUGCAGGUGUUGGGUGGCAGGCUAUGCUUGGUAUGCUCAUCUGUUUGGAAACCUGCUGCUGAAAGCCUGCUGGCUGUGUCUGUUUGGGCUGUUUUUGUUUUUUGUUUCUGUUAGGGUGGGCUGCUGUCUUCUAUUGCAGUGCAUCAUGGUUGGCUAUUUUUGAAGAAAAUAUAUAUGUUAGUAUUUAUAUGUCCAUUUUUUUUUUGUUUUUUAAAGUGUAAUUUUACAAGUUAUUGAGGCAAAUAUACGUGUUUUAUGUA